rnacentral:rRNA from 1 species
CCCUUAGAUGUCCUGGGCCGCACGCGUGCUACACUGACGCAUACAGCGAGCACUUUCCAGUUCCGAGAGGCUACUGGUAAUCAUCAAUAUGCGUCGUGAUGGGGAUAGAUCUUUGGAAUUCUGGAUCUUGAACGAGGAAUGCCUGUAAUCGCAGGUCAUUAGCCUGCGAUGAUUAAGUCCCUGCCCUUUGUACACACCGCCCGUCGCUACUACCGAUUUCGAGUGGUCAGGUGAAUCUUUCGGACUGUGGGCGCCCUUGAGGUGUUCGCGGAAAGUCAGGUAAAUCUUAUCACUUAGAGGAAGUAAAAGUCGUAACA